rnacentral:rRNA from 1 species
AUUGAACGCUGGCGGCAUGCCUUACACAUGCAAGUCGAACGGCAGCAUGGGUGCUUGCACCUGAUGGCGAGUGGCGAACGGGUGAGUAAUGCAUCGGAACGUACCCGGAAGUGGGGGAUAACGUAGCGAAAGUUACGCUAAUACCGCAUAUUCUGUGAGCAGGAAAGCAGGGGAUCGCAAGACCUUGCGCUUUCGGAGCGGCCGAUGUCGGAUUAGCUAGUUGGUGGGGUAAAGGGACCUACCAAGGCGACGAUCCGUAGCGGGUCUGAGAGGAUGAUCCGCCACACUGGGACUGAGACACGGCCCACGACUCCUACGGGAGGCAGCAGUGGGGGAAGUUUUGGUACGAAUAGGCGACAAGACCUCGAUCCACGCCACUGCCGCCGUGAGUGAAGAAAGGACCGUCGUGUAGUAGUACGUU